GGGCUAAACUAUGCACCGAAGCUGCGGAUUCAAACUAUGUUUGAAUGGUAGGGGAGCGUUCUGUAAGCCGUUGAAGGUGAACCGGGAGGUAUGCUGGAGGUAUCAGAAGUGCGAAUGCUGACAUGAGUAACGAUAAUGCGGGUGAAAAACCCGCACGCCGGAAGACCAAGGGUUCCUAUCCCAUGUUAAUCAGGGUAGGGUAAGUCGACCCCUAAGGCGAGGCCGAAAGGCGUAGUCGAUGGGAAACGGGUUAAUAUUCCCGUACUUGGUAUAAUUGCGAUGGGGGGACGGAGCAGGCUAAACAAGCAUGGCGUUGGUUGUCCAUGUGAAAGUGAGUAGGUUGAGAGUUUAGGAAAAUCCGGACUCUUAAGACUGAGACACGAGACGAGCACCAAAGGGUGUGAAGUUGUUGAUGCCAUACUUCCAGGAUAAGCCUCUAAGCUUCAGAUUAUACCGAAUCGUACCCCAAACCGACACAG
rnacentral:rRNA from 1 species